rnacentral:lncRNA from 10 species
AUUCAAGAUGGACGGCAGGGAGUGUGGAAGGAGAAAGGGGGCGAGGGGGGAAGAGCGAGAUCGGCAGAGGAGAGGGUCUCCGCGGCCCACCGGCCUCGCAACCUCGGUCCCGGCCGGCGGGUGGCGGGGCGGCCGCUGGGGAUCCAAGCCCGGCCCGGGAGAGGGGCUGGCGGGGUGCGAGAGGGCGUGAGCGAGGGGGAGCGAGGCCAGGGAGGGGAGCCAAGAGGGAGGGAAGGGCAGAGAAAGAGCCCGGGAAGAAGGAGGUGGCAGGCAGAGGAUCCUAACGAAGAGCAAUGUGUAGGUAUCGAGAGCUUCCCGAAGGCUUGGACACCAGCCCUGAAGCAGGGAAAAGACAGAUGUACUAAUUGUCAUGGAUGGCAAACUGUGCCCCCAAACUUGUACCAAGCCUCAAAGCCUUGGUUUAAUACUCCUGAAGGAGUAAUAGACCCAAUGUGACAUUUUGCAUGCAGGAACCCCUUAACAGCUACCUCCAUAUUAUGCGUGCUUCAUGAAUGGAGACACCUACGUUAUAUGAAGUUCUCUAUUGGGCUGUAAACUUCCUGAGACAGGCCUUCUGGGAAAUUACUCUCUACAUCCCAGGACUGCAAUGUCCAGUGCAGACCCGUGCAUUUAGAUGUUUCCAAAAUAGCAGUUGUUUCCGCGGCAUUAUGUUCUGCUGGCCUAGAGGUCUUAGUUCCAGAGGGAGGAAUGCUGCCACCAAGAGACACAACAAUGAUUCCAUUAAACUGGAAGUUAAGAUUGCCACCUGGCCACUUUGGGCUCUUCUUACUUUUAAGCCAACUUGCUAAGAAGGGAGUUACAGUGUUUGACCCAGACUAUCAAGAUGAAAUCAGUCUACUACUCCACAAUGGCGGUAAGGAAGUAUGCGUGGAAUACAGGAGAUCACGUAGGGCGUCUCUUAAUAUUACCAUGCCCUGUGAUUAAGGUCAAUGGGAAACUGCAACAGCCCAAUCCAGGCAGGAUGACAAAUGGCCCAGACCCUUCAGGAAUGAAGGUUUGGGUCACUCCACCAGGUAAAAAAAACAUAAUCUGCUGAGGUGCUUGCUGAAGGCAAACGGAAUUCAGAAUGGGUAGUCAAAGAAGGUAGUCAUCAAUACGAACUAUGACCAUGUGACCAGCUGCAGAAAAUGAGGACUGUAAUUGUCAUGAGUAUUUCCUCCUCCUUUUGUUAGGAACAUGUUUGUGCAUAUAUACACUUGUAUUAAGAAAAUAUCUUCAUUUUAUUUCCUUUCUUUUGCCUUUAUCAUGUGACAUAAGACUUACUGACUUGAUAUCAGCACUUAAGUGUUGUUAACUCUAUGUAAUAGCAUUUGGGUUGGGGAUUGGUGCGUUUCCGGUUGUACAAAGGAUAGCUGUAUUAUGUUAAGCGUAAUUAUGACCUUAUUAUUGUCUUUAUUUGAAGAUCAUGUAUGAUUUCAGGAGACGUGUAUGGGUUCAAGUUGACAAGGGGUGGACUGGUGAUGGUUAAUAUUGUCAACUAGAUUGGAUUGAAAGAUGCAAAGUAUUGUUCCUGGGUGUGUCUGUGAGGGUAUUGCCAAAGGCGAUUAACAUUUGAGUCAAUGGACUAGGAAAGGCAGACCCACCUCAAUCUGGAUGGGCACAAUGUAAUCAACUGUCAGCUAGGCCAGAAUAAAAGCAGACAGAAGAACGUGGAAAGACCAGACUGGUUUAGCCUCUGAGCCUACGUCUUUCUCCCAUGCUGGACGCUUCCUGCCCUCGAAUAUUGAACUCCAAGGUCUUCAACUUUGGGAUUCGGACUGGCUUCCUUGCCCCUCAGCUUGCAGGCAGCCUACUGUGGGACCUCAUCUGGUGAUCAUCUGAGUCAAUAUUCCGUAAUAACUCUGAUUUAUAUAUACAUCUAUCCUAUUAGUUCUAUCCCGCUAGAGAACUCUGAUUAAUAGAGCAGUUGAGUUGCAUCUUCAGACAUGAACCAAGUGUCUGGCUUUGGUCUCAAAGAGACUGAAUUAGACUCUUAGCUCUGCCAAUUACUUGGCAGGAACCACUAGGCAAAUUACUGAUAAUCUUUGUGCCUUAGUCUUACUCUUCUGCUAAAUGAAGCUAAUAAUAUUUAUUAUUAUUAGCUCAUGGAGAUGCAGAAUAAAGUGAGAUAACAUUUAAAUGCCUGAAAAAUGCCUGGCACAUGAUAGGCAGUAAACAGUAGUGUCAUUUCAAAACAACAUUCUCGCCAGGUGCGGUGGUUCACGCCUGUAAUCCCAGCACUUUGGGAGGCCGAGGCAGGCAGAUCACAAGGUCAGGAGAUCGAGACCAUCCUGGCCAACAUGGUGAAAUCCCCAUCCCUAAUAAAUAACAAAAAUUAGCUGGACAUGGUGGCACGUGCCUGUAAUCCCAGCUACUCGAGAGCCUGAGGCAGGAGAAUCGCUUGAACAGGAAGUCAGAGGUUGCGGUAAGCUGAGAUGGCGCCACU